AAGGAAGGGGGAAAUAGCCGAUAACUAUUUUUUAAUUAGUUCAAUUCUAAUCUUAUCUUU
rnacentral:tRNA from 1 species